AGGGCUGUACUCAGAUCAGGGGGCCUAAAGAAUGGCUCCUCUGUUUAUAACAACCCAACAGGAAUCUGGGGUGAUUGUGACGAGGGGCGCAUAAAACUUGUGGCCUCCCUAGGAACACAUUCGCUACAGGU
ensembl:snoRNA